rnacentral:rRNA from 1 species
AUACGUAGGGGGCAAGCGUUAUCCGGAUUUACUGGGUGUAAAGGGAGCGUAGACGGCGAUGCAAGUCUGAAGUGAAAGCCCGGGGCUCAACCCUGGAACUGUUUUGGAAACUGUGUUGCUAGAGUGCAGGAGAGGUAAGUGGAAUUCCUAGUGUAGCGGUGAAAUGCGUAGAUAUUAGGAGGAACACCAGUGGCGAAGGCGGCUUACUGGACUGUAACUGACGUUGAGGCUCGAAAGCGUGGGGAGC